rnacentral:rRNA from 1 species
AGAGUUUGAUCAUGGCUCAGAUUGAACGCUGGCGGUAUGCUUAACACAUGCAAGUCGAACGCGAAAGUACCUUCGGGUGCGAGUAGAGUGGCGGACGGGUGAGUAAUGCAUAGGAAUCUACCCAGUAGUGGGGGACAACUACCGGAAACGGUAGCUAAUACCGCAUACGACCUACGGGUGAAAGGGGGCUUCGGCUCUCGCUAUUGGAUGAGCCUAUGUCAGAUUAGCUUGUUGGUGGGGUAAUGGCCCACCAAGGCGACGAUCUGUAGCUGGUUUGAGAGGAUGAUCAGCCACACUGGGACUGAGACACGGCCCAGACUCCUACGGGAGGCAGCAGUGGGGAAUAUUGGACAAUGGGGGAAACCCUGAUCCAGCAAUACCGCGUGUAUGAAGAAGGCCUGCGGGUUGUAAAGUACUUUCAAUAGUGAAGAUUGGGUUAAUGGUUAAUACCCAUUAGCUUUGACGUUAACUAUAGAAGAAGCACCGGCUAACUCCGUGCCAGCAGCCGCGGUAAUACGGAGGGU